GUGCACGUUGCGCGAAGAAAAAAUGGCGAACAAAAUAAUCAUUGCGGUCUGUGGGCACGCAGAAAAGUUGACAUCUACUCGGUGUCCUGUCAACCAAGACGGCACUUAGCAUUAGCCAACGAUUUAGCACCUGCCACCUGAUUAACUAGCGAGGUUCAAACUUGUUUCUCUGUCGGAGGUGCCCCCGCCCCCUUCUUUUCCUCCAUUGUUACCCGAAUGAAGCUGCUCCGUUCAAACUCCCGUGGGAAGUGUGACGUGAAACAACGUUUCAUCCUUGAUUUGACCCAAGUUUUGGCAUUGACCUUCAGCUAGCAUGUGACUCUUCCGCCUCCGCAAAAAUGCGUGGGAGCCCAGUUGGCUGCAUCACAACGGCGAGGGAGAGAAACCAAGGAUUCUUCCAAA